UACGUAGGGUGCAAGCGUUAAUCGGAAUUACUGGGCGUAAAGCGUGCGCAGGCGGUUUUGUAAGUCUGUCGUGAAAUCCCCGGGCUCAACCUGGGAAUUGCGAUGGAGACUGCAAGGCUGGAGUUUGGCAGAGGGGGGUAGAAUUCCACGUGUAGCAGUGAAAUGCGUAGAGAUGUGGAGGAACACCGAUGGCGAAGGCAGCCCCCUGGGUUGACACUGACGCUCAGGCACGAAAGCGUGGGGAGCAAACAGG
rnacentral:rRNA from 1 species